GGUGGGGUGGCCGAAUGGUGAGGCAGCGGCCUGCAAAGCCGCGUACGCGGGUUCGAUUCCCGUCCCCACCU
rnacentral:tRNA from 1 species